rnacentral:tRNA from 1 species
GGGCCGUUAGCUCAGUUGGUUAGAGCAGAGGACUCAUAAUCCGUUGGUCGUAGGUUCAAGUCCUACACGGCCUACCA